rnacentral:misc_RNA from 1 species
GCUGAUGCCCUGUCCUUGGACAGCGCCGCCUAGCAUAGCACGGGAGAAGCACCGGCGUAGGCAUCUGGGAUUCGUGUUCAGCUGCUCUUUGUAGCAGUUUGUUUUCCGCGGCCUCAUCCAGCCGCAUGCGGCCUGUCUCUGCGUCGCCAACAACCGUUUCUACGCCCACGGACACGUUUCGAAAACACGACUCGCUCGCGUCCCCGGCACCGAGACAAGCCGGACGCCGUGAGCCAGAGCGUAGCACCGUCCCCGAGAGACUCUCGCCUCCUUGAUGGACGUCGCGUCCGAAUGGUCGCUGAACCGUGAUGCCUGGCUUCCCGGCAUCUCGCGCUACUCCGUUUCCGUGAAUAGCGCUGGGCAGCGCAUACCAGACUGCCUCCGGGAACGUGAGCGCCCCCCGCUCCCUCAACAGUCUAGUGGAUAUGGUCCAUGGUUACGAGACCAGGACCCAUGAGGGUACCCGCUGAGACACUCUUUCUCGCGUGUGGCCUUCCUGGUGCGCGAUGCCCGGUCUCUGUACGCAGCAACCAGGACACAUUCGUACUGCUCCGCAGCGGGCAUCGGCCGAGCUCGUCCAAGCUCUUUCGCCUACGCGCUCGGAGCCCAAAGACGUUUACAGCGACCACGGACACUGACCGAAUAUCACUUUGGAUGCGCUUUGUGAGACACAGGCCUGCGUCUCGAACCAGGACUCGAUUUACGCCCAUAGAGAUAGAUGAAGAGCAAGUAUUCAGGGCGGGCGUGGAUCCCGAGUUCGAGUGCGUCACGACCGCCGCCGUGCCUCCAGCCCAGUAGGGCAGAGCCAGCGAUCAGCACCGCGAGCAGGUGUCGCUGCUCAGCUUGCUCCACGACUCGGUACCAGCGGGCGUCGUGCACCACACACACCAGGAGGCGUACCAGCAGGUGCAGUGACUACCUCAGGGGCUAUCUCGGCAAUCAAAGCAUCCUAUCGAGCAGCGGCGGAUGCUUCGUGCAGUGCACUCAGAGCGCCUAUACGAGCGUCCGAAUGCAGCACGCGGACGCUUUUCGACACAGGUACAUGACACCGUGCUGCUGUCGCCAAUGGCAUCGAUUGUGCGGAGCCAAGGAGCGUACAUCCACACCGCCUAGUUCGGUGCGUCGGAAAAGGGAAUCAUCGACGAGGCGCGCGGUAUGCCUGAAACCUCUGGUACGGGGUGUGCUUUUGGAGCACACGGGCUGCACUCGUGCUCCUUCGAUGCGAGCGUGCGACAGGCACAAGAAUCGAUUCCGUACAGAUCCCGUCGACGAAUGCACGACAACAUACAAGUAUCACGAACUGGGGUUCAGCCUAAUCUAGUUCGAGAAGAAAAAGAGCAUGAAACAGAGAUCAAUGCACGGGAUGGUGUACGGGACGCCGAACGAACGUCAGAUGGCGACAGCGUCAAAGUUCGGUGACCUCGUAGAGCCUGAAACAGAGACCAAUGCACCAGGUGGUGUACGGGACGCCAAACGAACGUCAGAUGGCGACAGCGUGUAAGGUCGGUGACCUCGUUUGGUGCGAAUGUGCCAGCACCUAGGCGCCCAGGCUCUUUCCAUACUGCGACUUGAGCCGCUCGAUCAACACUCGAAAGCGAGUCUUGGUUUGAGUCGAGCGAGCUUUCGACGCAGUCGUUCAGUACUCAGUAUCGGUGCGCUGCUGAAACGCUGAUGACGCUCGAUGGAAAACUCAGUGGUCAGCAGAGAGGGAGUUGGAUUCCAGACUGGAGCAAGGCACUGGUAUGGUGCGGUUGGGAAAUCCCGCAAUGCGAGAGCGGCUUGGGUAUGCUCUGAAGACGAUGUUCUUUGCCAACAAGCGAACGAUAAUGAUGCUCCUUUAUUUGAUGUUCGGUUGUCUAGUUCGACACAGCUUUCGUGCUCGUUCGCUUCGGAUGCCGGUCGCGCUAGAGUCUCGAGUGCAUACCUGCGCAUGUAAAUUGGUUCUGCAUAGCUUGACGUGCUCUCUGGGUGAUGCAGUUUGCAGAAAUCACAAGAGCGCCGACGCACGUCCUUUCAGAAAAACGACAUUGCUCGCGAGUUUCCGGGCGAUGCAGUGCUUCAUCUUUGUAGGGCCAAGUUUUCGCACCGCUCCGAGAGUUUUCAGAGCAUUCGCCUUCUACUGAGCACCACCGGUUACCUGCAAACUGCUCGAAUGCACGGCUAGAUGCUCCUGGGAUGGCCCAUGGCACCCGGCUGCAGUACAUCACACUGCGAUAGAGGCAGACAGAUUGGCUGCCAGUCGCAGCGGCACCGGCAAGCAGCGCGCUUUGCAGCGUGCUGCGACUCAGUAUGCAAUGCUUGUUAUCGCUGUCGACGCUGGACUAUCGAUAUGAGCACUGUUGUUGUUGCAGUCCUCUGGAGCAGCGGUUUCCGACUCCGACUGCAUUGCCAUCCAGGUGGUAUUGACGUACCAGGGGUCCAGGGUGCUUUCUGCAACUUGUGGUAAAAAA